AUGUGGAAAACAUCAGGAAUCAAGUUGCGGGAAGGUGGGAACUGUUAGAUGCGUGUGAAGAGAUCAUGAAGUCAAUCGACAAAAUAGCCAGUGAAUUCUCAAAGCGCAGUUCUCAUCUCGCCAAUCUGAUUAAAGAGGUAGAGGAGAAUUGUCUCAGGUCUGCCUUUGAACUCCUGCAGGCUAUGGAUCCCUUGCUGAGCAGGUGCAACAUAGAAAUAUCUGGGAAACCCAAAGCUGAUCUGAAUGAGAAAGUUGAAUUGCUU